rnacentral:rRNA from 1 species
UACGUAGGGUGCGAGCGUUGUCCGGAAUUAUUGGGCGUAAAGGGCUCGUAGGCGGUUUGUCGCGUCAGGAGUGAAAACUCAGGGCUUAACCCUGAGCCUGCUUCCGAUACGGGCAGACUAGAGGUAUGCAGGGGAGAACGGAAUUCCUGGUGUAGCGGUGAAAAUGCGCAGAUAUCAGGAGGAACACCGAUGGCGAAGGCAGGUCUCUGGGCCGAUACUGACGCUGAGGAGCGAAAGCGUGGGGAGCGAACAGG